rnacentral:sRNA from 1 species
UAUUAAAUACUACUCAUUUUCAUCCUACUAUAUUAUUUGGGAAGUACAUUUUAAAUGUAACCUUAAUUUUUGUAAGUAAUUACAUAGGUAUGCCAUUAGAAAUAAAAUUUUAAAGAGUAAAUUAAUUUAUCUCUUUGAGAAUUAAAAAGUCAAAUACUAAUUUAAUUAAUUAAAUUUAAUUAAAAAACAAAAUACAUUAUUAAUUUCCAAAAAUAAUAACCAAUCAAAAUCAACAUAUAAGAUUUGAUAUCUAAAUUUUAAUUAAUUUAAUUUAAUUAGAAAAACAAAAUACAUUAUUAAUUCCCAAAAAAGUAACCAAUUAAAAUCAACAAAUUAGAUUUGAUAUCUAAAUUAUCAUAUUAAUUUUUUAUUAAUUAUUAUAGUUCACUUCUCAUCUUUAUAUGAUUCUAUUUUUGCCGAAAAAUAAUAUCAUCAUUAUAGAAAAAUAAUUAGAGUUUUUUCGCAUAUGCCAUAAUUUGAAUUUUUAAAAACGAAUAUAAACUGUUCAAUACAUGAAAAAAUAUUAUAACAGGUGAAAAUAGAUUUAAGAAAACUUUCUACUGAGUAACAGAUCAUAAUUUGAAAUAUUUAUAUUCAUUUUCAUACAUAUUAUAUUGAAAAUUUAUAAUCUUAUAUUCUACAAUAAUUAAUAACAUAUUAGAUGUGAUUCAAUUUUUAAUACAAGCUGGAAAAUCCUAAAAUUGACGGGUUUAGAUCGAUAUUAAUACAAGAUGGUAUACUACAGGUGAAACUCUUAAAUUAACAAUCAAAAUACAAGUGUAUAAUCUUAAACACUAAACAAUAUAGAUAAUAUUAACAAAACAUAUACAACUCACAGUUUACUAUACAUUUAAAAUCAAAUAAAAUAAUAUCAUAUAUUUUUAAAUCAUCUUUACAAUAAAAGUUUUUAGUUGAACUAAAAUAUAAGCCUACUUACGGUAUAUUGUAGGUUAAUAUAUAGAUUACAGGGCUUAUUGGAUCUAAAGACAAGUCAUGAAAGAUUUCCUAAACUGAAGCAAAAUAUACUGAAUAUUCAAAUCUCUAUCUGUUACCAAAUUAUAAACAAAUAAGUUCGUAAAACAAUUUAAUAUUUUAUAUACGAAAUCAACUAAAUCUUAAUCACAUAAAAUUAGCACAAAAAAAAGUAUUCAACAAUUAAAAAAUUAUCAAAUCUCUAUAUAAGUUUUGAUACUAUAUUCGAAUAAAGUGUAAUAUUCCAUUUCAAUUUGUAUUCUUUAACUAAUUUAAACGAACUAAUAUAUUUGCUAAUCUUAUACCUAUCAAAACCGACUAUCGUUUCUUAUCUCUAUAGUAUAUUUGCAAGACUUUUUUGGUGGAUUUGGAUAAAAGUGCAUAUCGUCCUACUAUAUUAUUUGGGAAGUACAUUUUAAAUGUAACCUUAAUUUUUGUAAUUAAUUAUAUGACAAUGCCAUUAGAAAAAUUUAAUCAAAAACAAAAUCUUUUAAUGACAUCAUUAAGAUUACCAAAAUCAUUUAACGACAAUAUUCAUCUCUUAAUUAUAGGGCUUAUUGGAUUUAAAGACGGGUCAUCAAAGAUUUCCUAAACUGAAGCAAAAUAUACUGAAUAUUCAAAUCUAUAUCUGUUACCAAAUUAUAAACAAAUAAGUUCGUAAAACAAUUUAAUAUUUUAUAUACGAAAUCAAUUAAAUUUUAAUCACAUAAAAAUUAGCACAAAAAAUAUGGUACAUUCGGGUCUAUAGUAGUUUUGCAAGACUUUUUUGGUGGAUUUGGGUAAAAGUACAUUCGGGUCAUAUGGUACAUUCCCCUAUUAAAUAAAUAUGGUUCACUCCUAUGUUAUUAGCUAAAAUGUUUAGAUUAUAAUUCAGAGUCAUAUCAUAAAUAAAAUUAAUAUUAAUAAAAUAAAUGGCUUUUUGGCAAGACGGAUUUGAAGGGACGAGUUUUUGAAUCAACAUUAAUAAAAAGUAAAAUAUAAUUAAUCCACCGUUUCAAUACGGGUUAAAUCUUUAAUUUAUUAUUUUUUAAUAACAAUUAAUA